GCAUUGGUCAUUCAAUGGUAGAAUUCUCACCUUGCAUACAAGAUACCCGGGUUCAAAUCCCAGCCAAUGAA
rnacentral:tRNA from 1 species